rnacentral:misc_RNA from 1 species
GAUGAAGAACGCAGCGAAAUGCGAUAAGUAAUGUGAAUUGCAGAAUUCAGUGAAUCAUCGAGUCUUUGAACGCACAUUGCGCCCCCUGGUAUUCCGGGGGGCAUGCCUGUCCGAGCGUCAUUGCUGCCCUCAAGCACGGCUUGUGUGUUGGGCUCCGUCCCCCCGGGGACGGGUCCGAAAGGCAGCGGCGGCACCGAGUCCGGUCCUCGAGCGUAUGGGGCUUUGUCACCCGCUCUGUAGGCCCGGCCGGCGCCAGCCGACAACCAAUCAUCCUUUUUUCAGGUUGACCUCGGAUCAGGUAGGGAUACCCGCUGAACUUAAGCAUAUCAAUAAGCGGAGGA